ensembl:snRNA U6 U6 spliceosomal RNA
GUACUCACCUUGGCAGCACAUAUACUGAAAUUGGAAUGAUACAGAGAUUAGCAUGGCCUCGGUGCACGGAUAACAAAAAACUUGUGAAGCAUUCCAUAGUUUU